rnacentral:rRNA from 1 species
UACGGAGGAUGCAAGCGUUAUCCGGAAUUACUGGGCGUAAAGCGUGCGCAGGCGGUUUUGUAAGACAGAUGGGAAAGCCCCGGGCUUAACCUGGGAAUGGCAUUUGGGACUGCAAGGCUUGAGUGCGGCAGAGGAGACUGGAAUUCCUGGUGUAGCAGUGAAAUGCGUAGAUAUCAGGAGGAAUACCGGUGGCGAAGGCGGCAUCCUGGACCGGCAUUGACGCUGAGGAGCGAAAGCUAGGGGAGCAAACGGG